CCUACUACAUCACGACAUACAGUGUAACAUCUUCGCCACCUGCAUGUUAACUAUCCCGUGCAAAGAGUGGUUUGAAAACCGAAGCGAAUAUGAAGCGAACAACUGAUUUGGAUAAUCGAAUACGAAGCGAAUAAGUCUAGAACCGUAGCGAAUAGGAAGUGAAUAGCUGCAAAAUGGACCGGUUUGCCCGCAUAGGCGGAGUGGAAAUCAAGAGCGAACGGAAAUGUUAGCAGAUAAAUGAUAUGUUUAAAAUAGGUCUACAAGCGCCAAAUCUCUGUUAGUAUCUAUUGAGAAGGUAGUGAGGUAGGUGAGGACGAAAUGGUAUUUCACCACCAUUGUUCUGACAUAAUAAAGGUCCAAUCUGGACACGAAAUGUGAAGUAAAACAGGCCUUGUCAGAUGAUUCCUUAUAUCGUUCCGAUGUACCAUGCAAAAUGUUUCCUUUAUAUUCGACUCCAAGAAUUUGUAAUGCAAUUCCGAACUUGCAUCUCUUGCCCUCGACUGAAAGCCGCACUUGGAACAGUAGUGACGUCAGGAGCGUUCUGUUCCGGCAUCAUCUAGGCUCCUCUGAGCGGGCUGUGUCAACACCACCUACAUACACAAGGCCCCUCCGCAGCUCCGUGACGUCACCCUAUGCCGUCCGUCGGCAAGCCAACAAUGGCGUCCGCUUGCUGUGGUUGCGUUCGGCAGAGAUGCUAUUUCGAAGACGAAUUCACCCGUUUUCUCGAUGUGAAACAGCGAACGAGCGUGUACUUCCGAAGAAUAGGAUCCUACUGCAGUGUCUGUGCCCAUAACUUACGGAAUAAUUGCGUACACAGCGGCAAGCCCAGCGACUUACAACUUCUGCUGCUAAGAGUACACGAAAGCACGAAUAAAGAACUUGUCGAAGUACGAUUCAUGAAGAGCAGCAUUGACAACAAACGUAUGCGUUUCGGCUACAAAGGUGCCUCUUGUGACGUGUUUGCAGUAGACAAACAACUGGUGUAAGUGGUGAACAGGUGCGGGACACACCAUCAAGAGUCAGCCGUGUGUCCUUCAGUAACUACGACUUCCUUCCCUGUCUUGCAGUCAACACUGCGUGAUGUUUUUGUGAUUGGUUGUUGGAAAACGACGACA